rnacentral:rRNA from 1 species
GAUGAACGCUGGCGGCGUGCCUAACACAUGCAAGUCGAACGAAGCGAUCAAGAUGAAGUUUUCGGAUGAAUUCGAGAUUGACUGAGUGGCGGACGGGUGAGUAACGCGUGGGUAACCUGCCUCAUACAGGGGGAUAACAGUUAGAAAUGACUGCUAAUACCGCAUAAGCGCACAGUAUCGCAUGAUACAGUGUGAAAAACUCCGGUGGUAUGGGAUGGACCUGCGUCUGAUUAGCUAGUUGGUGAGGUAACGGCCCACCAAGGCGACGAUCAGUAGCCGACCUGAGAGGGUGACCGGCCACAUUGGGACUGAGACACGGCCCAAACUCCUACGGGAGGCAGCAGUGGGGAAUAUUGGGCAAUGGGGGAAACCCUGACCCAGCAACGCCGCGUGAAGGAAGAAGGCUUUCGGGUUGUAAACUUCUUUUACCAGGGACGAAGAACGUGACGGUACCUGGAGAAAAAGCAACGGCUAACUACGUG